UCUUCGGCAAUGGGGGGAACCCUGACCGAGCAACGCCGCGUGAGUGAAGAAGGUUUUCGGAUCGUAAAGCUCUGUUGUAAGAGAAGAACGUGUGUGAGAGUGGAAAGUUCACACAGUGACGGUAACUUACCAGAAAGGGACGGCUAACUACGUGCCAGCAGCCGCGGUAAUACGUAGGUCCCGAGCGUUGUCCGGAUUUAUUGGGCGUAAAGCGAGCGCAGGCGGUUUGAUAAGUCUGAAGUAAAAGGCUGUGGCUUAACCAUAGUAUGCUUUGGAAACUGUCAAACUUGAGUGCAGAAGGGGAGAGUGGAAUUCCAUGUGUAGCGGUGAAAUGCGUAGAUAUAUGGAGGAACACCGGUGGCGAAAGCGGCUCUCUGGUCUGUAACUGACGCUAGCUCGAA
rnacentral:rRNA from 1 species